rnacentral:rRNA from 1 species
GACGAACGCUGGCGGCGUGCUUAACACAUGCAAGUCGAACGGUAAGGCCCUUCGGGGUACACGAGUGGCGAACGGGUGAGUAACACGUGGGUGAUCUGCCCUGCACUUCGGGAUAAGCCUGGGAAACUGGGUCUAAUACCGGAUAGGACUCCGGACUGCAUGGUCUGGGGUGGAACGCUUUUGCGGUGUGGGAUGGGCCCGCGGCCUAUCAGCUUGUUGGUGGGGUGAUGGCCUACCAAGGCGACGACGGGUAGCCGGCCUGAGAGGGUGACCGGCCACACUGGGACUGAGAUACGGCCCAGACUCCUACGGGAGGCAGCAGUGGGGAAUAUUGCACAAUGGGCGCAAGCCUGAUGCAGCGACGCCGCGUGAGGGAUGACGGCCUUCGGGUUGUAAACCUCUUUCAGCAUCGACGAAGCGAAAGUGACGGUAGGUGCAGAAGAAGGACCGGCCAACUACGUGCCAGCAGCAGCCGCCG